UAUCAAGCAUAUGGUAAAAGUCCACAUCCAAAAACGAUUCAACAUCAAUCAAAAAAAUAUGUAUAACCACAAGCAUAUUACUACUCCAAGUCAGCACGGCAAUCUUGGGAGGAGGGAAAAACACUUUUUUACACUUUCAAUCUUGAACUUUUAGAAAUUAAACUUGAAACCUAUGGACUAAAUUUCCAGUUCCUUCAGAAUAAUUGCUAGGUUGCUCAUAUGUUUUGGCUCUUGCCCAGCUUGUUAUUGCAAUCUAUCACCUUACCAUUAGUGAAUCUCCUUAUGAUCAGGAAAAACCAAAUCUAUUCCACAAAUGAUAAGAAUGUUGUGUUUACUUUCAAGGGAAAAUGUAUUCAAUAA
rnacentral:misc_RNA from 1 species